UACGAAGGGGGCUAGCGUUGCUCGGAAUCACUGGGCGUAAAGCGCACGUAGGCGGGUUGCUAAGUCAGGGGUGAAAUCCUGGAGCUCAACUCCAGAACUGCCUUUGAUACUGGCGAUCUCGAGUCCGGGAGAGGUGAGUGGAACUGCGAGUGUAGAGGUGAAAUUCGUAGAUAUUCGCAAGAACACCAGUGGCGAAGGCGGCUCACUGGCCCGGUACUGACGCUGAGGUGCGAAAGCGUGGGGAGCAAACGGG
rnacentral:rRNA from 1 species